rnacentral:rRNA from 1 species
GUGGUCAAGUUGUCAAGGGCGAACGGUGGAUGCCUUGGCACCAGGAGCCGAUGAAGGACGUGGGAGGCCGCGAUAGGCCUGGGGGAGCUGUCAACCAAGCUGUGAUCCCAGGGUGUCCGAAUGGGGAAACCUGGCACCAGUCAUGUGGUGUCACCUGCACCUGAACACAUAGGGUGUAUGGGGGGAACGCGGGGAAGUGAAACAUCUCAGUACCCGUAGGAAGAGAAAACAAUUUAGUGAUUCCGUGAGUAGUGGCGAGCGAAAGCGGAUCGAGGCUAAACCGGCUGCGUGUGAUACCUGUCAGGGGUUGCGUGGUCGGGGUUGUGGGACCCCGCUAGACAAGCUGACACUUGUCUGAGGAGUUACAAAGUCAGUGGCUAGCCGAAUGGUGUGGAAAAGCCAACCGUAGACGGUGACAGUCCGGUACGUGAAAGUUGCUGACCUUCUGUGGGUGUUCCCGAGUAGCGGCGGACCCCUGAAAUCUGCCGUGAAUCUGCCAGGACCACCUGGUAAGCCUAAAUACUUCCUGGUGACCGAUAGCGGACGAGUACCGUGAGGGAAUGGUGAAAAGUACCCCGGGAGGGGAGUGAAAUAGUACCUGAAACCGUUCGCCUACAAUCCGUCGGAGCCUUGCGGGGUGACGGCGUGCCUUUUGAAGAAUGAGCCUGCGAGUUAGUGGCAUGUGGCGAGGUUAACCCGUGUGGGGGAGCCGUAGCGAAAGCGAGUCUGAAUAGGGCGCUCUUGAGUCGCAUGCUCUAGACCCGAAGCGGAGUGAUCUAGCCAUGGGCAGGCUGAAGCGCGGGUAAGACCGCGUGGAGGGCCGAACCCACCAACGUUGAAAAGUUGGGGGAUGACCUGUGGUUAGGGGUGAAAGGCCAAUCAAACUCCGUGAUAGCUGGUUCUCCCCGAAAUGCAUUUAGGUGCAGCGUCGCGUGUUUCUUGCCGGAGGUAGAGCACUGGAUGGUCUAGGGGGCCCACAAGCUUACCGAAAUCAGCCAAACUCCGAAUGCCGGUAAGUGAGAGCGCGGCAGUGAGACUGCGGGGGAUAAGCUUCGUAGUCGAGAGGGAAACAGCCCAGAUCACCAGCUAAGGCCCCUAAGCGUGUGCUAAGUGGAAAAGGAUGUGGGGUCGCAUAGACAACCAGGAGGUUGGCUUAGAAGCAGCCACCCUUUAAAGAGUGCGUAAUAGCUCACUGGUCAAGUGGUUCCGCGCCGACAAUGUAGCGGGGCUCAAGCACACCGCCGAAGCUGUGGCAUUCACAUUUUAACCUCGUCGGGUCUUGAUAUCCGGUGCAGGUGUGUGGAUGGGUAGGGGAGCGUCGUGCCGGGGGUGAAGCAACGGGGUGACCUAGUUGUGGACGCGGCACGAGUGAGAAUGCAGGCAUGAGUAGCGAAAGAAGGGUGAGAAACCCUUCCGCCGGAUGACCAAGGGUUCCAGGGCCAGGCUAAUCCGCCCUGGGUGAGUCGGGACCUAAGGCGAGGCCGAGAGGCGUAGUCGAUGGACAACGGGUUGAUAUUCCCGUACCCGCGAAAGAGCGACCCUGACGAACCUCGUUGUGCUAACCACCCAAACCAUCCAAGACCUUCGGGUUGAGGGUGGGGAGCGUGGGAACCUGGCGGGUAGUAGUCAAGCGAUGGGGUGACGCAGGAAGGUAGCUGAGCCCGGCCGGUGGUUGUGCCGGGGUAAGCGUGUAGGCCGUACCGUAGGCAAAUCCGCGGUGCACAUAGGCUGAGACGUGAUGCCGAGCCGAUUCAGGUGAAGUCAGUGAUCCUAUGCUGCCGAGAAAAGCCUCUAGCGAGUUCUUAGCGGCCCGUACCCCAAACCGACACAGGUGGUCAGGUAGAGAAUACCGAGGCGAUCGGGCGAACUGUGGUUAAGGAACUCGGCAAAUUGCCCCCGUAACUUAGGGAGAAGGGGGGCCGGAGACGUGAAGCCCCGCGCGGGUGGAGCGUUGUAUGGCCGCAGAGAGCAGGGGGAAGCGACUGUUUACUAAAAACACAGGUCCAUGCGAAGAAGUAAUUCGAUGUAUAUGGACUGACGCCUGCCCGGUGCUGGAACGUUAAGGGGACCUGUUAGCUCUUCGGGGCGAAGCGGAGAACUUAAGCGCCAGUAAACGGCGGUGGUAACUAUAACCAUCCUAAGGUAGCGAAAUUCCUUGUCGGGUAAGUUCCGACCUGCACGAAUGGCGUAACGACUUCCCCACUGUCUCAACCACAGGCCCGGCGAAAUUGCAUUACGAGUAAAGAUGCUCGUUACGCGCGGCAGGACGGAAAGACCCCGGGACCUUUACUAUAGCUUGACAUUGGUAUCUGAAUGAGCUUGUGUAGGAUAGGUGGGAGCCGGUGAAGUCCAUACGCCAGUAUGGGUGGAGGCAAUCUUGAAAUACCACUCUGGUUGAUUUGGGUAUCUAACUUCGGACCGUUAUCCGGUUCAGGGACAGUGUCUGGUGGGUAGUUUAACUGGGGCGGUUGCCUCCUAAAGGGUAACGGAGGCGCCCAAAGGUUCCCUCAGCCUGGUUGGCAAUCAGGUGUUGAGUGCAAGUGCACAAGGGAGCUUGACUGUGAGACUGACAGGUCGAGCAGGGACGAAAGUCGGGACUAGUGAUCCGGCACUGGCAUGUGGAAGCGGUGUCGCUCAACGGAUAAAAGGUACCCCGGGGAUAACAGGCUGAUCUUCCCCAAGAGUCCAUAUCGACGGGAUGGUUUGGCACCUCGAUGUCGGCUCGUCGCAUCCUGGGGCUGUAGCAGGUCCCAAGGGUUGGGCUGUUCGCCCAUUAAAGCGGUACGCGAGCUGGGUUUAGAACGUCGUGAGACAGUUCGGUCCCUAUCCGCCGUGCGCGUAGGAUACUUGAGAAGGGCUGUCCCUAGUACGAGAGGACCGGGACGGACGAACCUCUGGUGUGCCAGUUGUCCCGCCAGGGGCACGGCUGGUUAGCUACGUUCGGAAGGGAUAACCGCUGAAAGCAUCUAAGCGGGAAGCUCGCUUCAAGAUGAGGUAUCCCACCACUCUUUGAGUGGGUAAGGCCCCCAGCUAGACGACUGGGUUGAUAGGCCGGAACUGUAAGCCCGGUAACGGGUUCAGGUGACCGGUACUAAUAGGCCGAGGACUUGACUAC